UGCAUCUGCAGCUCAUGAGGAUGAGAACCUCCGGGGGCGGGGAGGUUCGACUCGAGCGAAGCGAGAGAACGUUGCGCCAGCAAC
rnacentral:sRNA from 1 species